rnacentral:lncRNA from 1 species
CCUGGACAAGUCCCCAGGAAGUUUCAGAUGUUUAGGGGCCAAUGUAGCAGUCGUGGUAUCAGCUCCCUGGGUCUGUGGGGCUGCAGAGGAACCGGAUAAAAAUCAGCAAAAUGCCAACUUCAGCCACUGCAGAGCAGGACUCGGGCUGUGAGAAGUUGGGCGUGACCUCUGAAUGACACUGCUUUGACUCUGGCCUGCAGGACAGAUGACAGUGUGAGCACACUGGCUGGAAAGGACAGAGACAGCAGAACCCUCAAAGGACCCUCUAUGGGAUGCCGUCUAUGGUUCUUCUGUCCAGCAGGGCAAACUCAGAGGGUGUGUCCCUGGCCCUGGCCCUAGAGGCAUGGCUAAGAAAGUUCUGGAACCAGAUGCCUGGGCUGGAGUCCUGCUGCUGCAUUCAACAGCUCUGUCACCUGGACAGUAAAGUCACUUGACUUAGGCUCCACUAUGGCCUAAGUCACACUGUCAGUGGCCUAGAUGAUUGCAAUCACCAUUUUUUUUGGUGGGGGAGGGGUACCAAGGGUUGAACUCAGGGGCACUUUACCGCAAAGCUAUAUCCCCAGUCCUUUAAAAAAAAAUGGGGACAGGGUCUUGCUGAGUUGCUGAGGCUGGCCUCAAACAUAUGAGCCUUUUGCCUCAGCCUCCCAGUCACUGAAUUACCCUCACACACUACCCACCCAGCUACAGUUAGUCACCUCUUAACUGGUCUCUCGCCCUUCAGUCUUGCUUCCUCGUCUCCAUUCACUCCAAACAGCCAGAGUGAGGUUAGAUCUUGUCAUUUCCCCAUUUAAAACCCUCCAAAGACCACCCACUGCCAUAACAAGGAAGUCCCCAGUUUCCCAGUCACAGUGUAAGAGGUCUUGUCACCCAAUCCUGCUGAUCUCUCCAUCUUUGCUGCUUUACACCCAGCUAGGACUGACUGCAGCCAGGGGAAUUUCAUUCAGUUCCUCACUCGGUGCUGCCAUCCUUCACCUCCCUCCCCGUCAGCCCCACUUCCUC